UCCUCCAGCUGAUGCAGAAGUGGCACUGGCUGGCUCUGCACAGAACUCCAGAGAAAGGGCUCUAACUGUAUUUUGUCCUGCUUUCAGGUUUACUGCCAGCAAGAGUCAGCUUGCAGCGGUCUGAGCAGCUGCGCCAGGAGUCCUCUCGCCAGGGGCACGCACUGGCCACAGUGUCCAAAGAGAAGGAGUUCCUGGAGCAUGAGAAGGCUGCCCUAGAGGUGCGACUGGCAGCCCUGCAGCGGGACAGACGAGGCCUUUCAGAGCAGCUGGCAGAGGCCAGGAACCGUGCGAAGGCCGGCAGACACCACCGCUGCAGGCACAGGAGGAGCCCUCCGCGCAGUCGGCAACUUGGGCAUUUACUGAGCAGGUCUUGGCUGAGCUUUUUGACUCGGCCUUGCACAUCAUUUCUGAGAGUGACUGUUCUGAUGACUCCACUGAGAGAGAGAAGAGAUUGUUCCUUUCUGAGAAGAGCGCCAGGUUCACCUGGAGGUGGCCAACAAGAGUUUGUUUGAGACCAGACCAUUCCGGCACUCUCCAGGCAAAAGUGUACCCAUGUUAGAGGAGCAGGAAGGAGCAGAAACCCUGGCAGGAAUCAAGAUGCCAGGUGAGGACCCAACGGCAGCUGGUGUGUCAAAGAUGUUAAUUUGCAAGUACCAUUGCUCAACACUGAGCCCCUAAAAAGGGCAGUGCAUGCAGUAGCCGUUGCCUCCAUCAUUAAGGAGUCAACCAGCUUAGCUGCAGAGAGGCUGGCGCUGGAGUCCUGCUGCACAGGGACAUGGGUGCCAGCCAACAGGCCAGGCAGCUCCUGGGGUGUGCAAGCCACUGUGCUGCUGCAGCAUGCUGGAUGUGCCAGAGACACCAGUGAGUCCUUGGGCAGGCUGGGUGCCAGCAACCUGUGUUGAAAGGCAUAGCGGCUGUUUGGAGCCAUCACAGAAGCAGAGGUUUUGAUUCCCUGCCUGUCAAGAUGCCUUAGG
rnacentral:lncRNA from 1 species